rnacentral:lncRNA from 1 species
UGGAUGUUGCACAGUAACAUCUGUGAAACAGCCACUCUGUAUUGCUUCCCAUUUGGAGGAAUGUAGGAAAAAAGCUAAACAGAGGCUGCUCUCCCUCUGGUUUUAUUUUUCAAGUUGUGUUUGUCUGCGAGUGAAGACUUGGAAACAGGAUUUGCGAUCUGAUGCUCGCUCCCGCUGACAGGCUGCACAGCUCUGGUUACAUCCAGAAGACUCAACUAUGUCCGUGAGCUCACGCAGCACUAAAGAUGGUCUCCAUUCCAGGAACUGGGCCCCAUAAGUGAAACGUGUGCUAGCUGAUCUCAAACAAUCUGCUUGCUUACGGCUGCGAAUGAAGAACAACAUGCUUUCAGAUCCAACACAAACCAUGGUGUGCACCAACUCUCUCAAGACUCACCUGCAAGACCCAGAGCCUCGAACUUGGCAGUGGAGCCUCCUGUCAACAUCUGGUCCAAGCCAGGAGAGGAGCUCGUAUCCCUCAGCUGAUAGUGAUAAAUCUUC